rnacentral:rRNA from 1 species
UAGGGAAUCUUCCACAAUGGACGCAAGUCUGAUGGAGCAACGCCGCGUGAGUGAAGAAGGUUUUCGGAUCGUAAAGCUCUGUUGUUGGUGAAGAAGGAUAGAGGCAGUAACUGGUCUUUAUUUGACGGUAAUCAACCAGAAAGUCACGGCUAACUACGUGCCAGCAGCCGCGGUAAUACGUAGGUGGCAAGCGUUGUCCGGAUUUAUUGGGCGUAAAGCGAGCGCAGGCGGAAUGAUAAGUCUGAUGUGAAAGCCCACGGCUCAACCGUGGAACUGCAUCGGAAACUGGCAUUAUUGAGUGCAGAAGAGGAGAGUGGAAUUCCAUGUGUAGCGGUGGAAUGCGUAGAUAUAUGGAAGAACACCAGUGGCGAAGGCGGCUCUCUGGUCUGCAACUGACGCUGAGGCUCGAAAGCAUGGGUAGCGAACAGG